rnacentral:rRNA from 1 species
GUGCUCCCCCGCCAAUUCCUUUAAGUUUCAACCUUGCGGUCGUACUUCCCAAGUGGCCCGCUUCACGGCUUCCCUACGGCACCACGGCAGUUCACGACUGCCGUGACACCUAGCGGGCAUCGUUUACGGCUAGGACUACCCGGGUAUCUAAUCCGGUUCGUGCCCCUAGCUUUCGUCCCUCACCGUCGGACCUGUUCUGGUAGGACGCCUUCGCCACCGGUGGUCCCCAGAGGAUUACAGGAUUUCACUCCUACCCCCUGAGUACCUCCUACCUCUCCCAGUCCCAAGCAAUGUAGUAUCCCGCAGACGCCCAACGGUUAAGCCGCUGGAUUUCCCACAAGACUUGCAAAGCCGGCUACGGACCCUUUAGACUCAAUAAUAUCGGCCACCACUCGAGCCGCCGGUAUUACCGCGGCGGCUGGCACCGGUCUUGCCCGGCCCUUGCUAACAGCCGUUUUUUAGACAGCUGGACAGACACCUAAUGUAGAUGCCACUCGAUGUUCCCCUAUCGCAGUUGCCUGCAUUGUAGAGUUUUCGCGCUGCUGCGCCCCGUAGGGCCUGGAUUCGUGUCUCAGAAUCCAUCUCCGGGCUCUUGCUCCCACAACCCGUACUGAUAAUCGGCACGCCGGUACUUUACACCGGCGUCAACCUAAUCAGCCGCAGACCCAUCCAAAGGCGCCAGAGCUUUCAAUCAAAAAACCCUUCCAGUACUCUUGACCUAUCCGGUAUUAUCCCCAGUUUCCCGGAGUUAUCCCAGACCUUUGGGUAGGUUGUCCACGUGUUACUGAGCCGU